rnacentral:lncRNA from 1 species
CUGUUUUCUUUUUCUUUUUGUUUCCUUUUCCUUUUUCCUGUUUCUUCUUUUAUUUUUCUUUUUUCUUUUUUCCUUUUUUCUGUUUCGUGUUUUCUUUUUAUUUUUGUUUCCUUUUUCUUUUUCCUGUUUCUUCUUUUAUUUUUCUUUUUUCCUUUUUUCUGUUUCCUGUUUUCUUUUUCUUUUUGUUUCCUUUUUCUUUUUUAUGUUUCUUCUUUUAUUUUAUUUUUUUGUUUUCCUUUUUUGUUUUUUUAC